GAUGAACGCUGACAGAAUGCUUAACACAUGCAAGUCAACUGGUGGCGGACGGGUGAGUAACGCGUAAAGAACUUACCUCACAGUUAGGGACAACAUUUGGAAACGAAUGCUAAUACCUAAUACUGUGAGAGAGCUUUGCGUCCCAUUAGCUAGUUGGAGAGGUAACGGCUCACCAAGGCGAUGAUGGGUAGCCGGCCUGAGAGGGUGAUCGGCCACAAGGUGCCUGUGGCGCGGCCCUUUCUCCUACGGUAGGCAGCAGUGAGGAAUAUUUGACUAUUGACCAAAGUCUGAACCAGCAAUUCUGUCUGCACGAUGAAGUUUUCGGAAUGUAAAGUGCUUUCAGUUGGGAAGCGGUACCAACAGAAGAAGUGACGGCUAAAUACGUGCCAGCAGCCGCGGUAAUAC
rnacentral:rRNA from 1 species